rnacentral:rRNA from 1 species
GACAGAGGAUGCAAGCGUUUAUCCAGAAUGAUUGGGCGUAAAGCGUCUGUAGGUGGCUUUUCAAGUCCGCCGUCAAAUCCCAGGGCUCAACCCUGGACAGGCGGUGGAAACUACCAAGCUAGAGUACGGUAGGGGCAAAGGGAAUUUUAGGUGGAGCGGUGAAAUGCGCAGAUAUCAGGAGGAACACCGGUGGCGAAGGCGGGUCUCUGGGCCGAUACUGACGCUGAGGAGCGAAAGCGUGGGGAGCGAACAGG